AGUCACGUGGCCGAGGGGUAUAGGCGGAGGUCUGCAAAACCUUUUACGACGGUUCGAAUCCGUCCGUGACGUCCA
rnacentral:tRNA from 1 species